rnacentral:tRNA from 1 species
AAAAGGUUGGCAGAUGUGUAAUGCAGUUAGCUUGAAACUAAAUAUAUAUAGGUUUAACUCCUAUACCUUUUU